UUCUUAUUGGAUGAUGACUGUCAUGUGUCAUGUUCUGAUUGGUCAAUGAAAACAAUAAUUCAUUUCAUUUUUCAUGGAGUUGACAUCCAAUCAGAACAUGACACAUGACCGUCAUCAUCC
rnacentral:pre_miRNA from 1 species